GUGGAGGGCAGUUGAGGACCCUUUUGUUGGACUAGUGUGCCAUGGAAGUGACUUGUAAGAGUGGCCAGGGUGGAGGGCAGUUGAGGACCCUUUUGUUGGACUAGUGUGCCAGCCCAUGUCCAGAAUGGUCUGUGAUGGGAAAAAUCGAGGACAGCAUCACAGUCCACUCACAGGAGACUGGUUAGGUAAAUGAUGCAUGUCCCGUCUCAUGGAGUACUGCAUGCUGUGAUCACCUUCCCCAGACAUGCCUGGCGAUGAAAGUUCCUGUGCAUGGAAUUGAUUAUGGAAAAGUUCCCAGGACAACCUUGUGAGGGAGCAGGGAAGCAGGGGAGGGAGGUGGAAGGAACAAGUCAGGAUGUGAUUUCAGAUCUGAUCUGGCACCUGCCUGAUCCCAAUGCCGGACUCUGGGAUGUAGAUUGCACCCACUGGAGACAAGGAGCCAGGUGUUCAUAAUCCUUCAGCCCCUCUCAGGCAAAAUGGCUCUGGGAGCCCUAGGUUAAGUCUCAGAAGAGAGUUAUAGGUAUAGACACCUAAAGCAAAAGCUCACCUACGCCCAGGCAUGGACACUCCAAAAUGAUGAAGGGACUGGCGGGUAGGAGCAGAGGGCCUGCUUUUCUAUGCAGACACCACUAAGAAGGAAGUAGCUUCAGAGUCAUCGACAGAAAGUUCUUGAUGAUAAGCACUGAGCAGGGUACUGAGCAGCAUAUAUAUUUUGACCUUAUUUUUUUAUGGAAAAGAAAUGUAAGAAAUGUGUGUCUAUGUUUGUGUGCACAUAAAGAAAAAAGUCUGGAAGGAAACAGACCCAACUCUUAAUUGUGUUACUCCAAGAGAGAUUCAGAUUGGGGAAGAGAGGUGAAGGGAUCAUGGAGGCAUUCAGAUUUCAUGAGCCAGCAUGUCUUGCUUUAUAACAGGAAUAAAAAAGACAGAAAGGCACGAGGCCUCUGCCACGUGAUAAAUGUGUGCCUGUGCAGUUAACGGGCUUCUCUGUUUCCAUUCCUAAGGGCCAGACAGGCCACACUAAAUGGACCAUAGGGACCACUUGGUGAAUUGAGUGAUGGUUCCCUUGAAUGAACAAUACUCUGAAGUCUGCAAUUAGAUAUAAUACUGGACUAGAAAUUGUGGCCUCAGUGGUCCUCAUUUCAGAUGACUGAUUGUCAUUUUAGGCUGGCUUAGGAAAACAUGCUCUUAACCUAGUGUCUUCUCUUCCUGUUUGAAUAUCCACUAGAUGUUCAUUAGCUUAACCCCUGCUCCCUGUAGGGGACUGUCUGGGUGGAAAAACUACUCUCAUACUUUGCCCACAGCCUGGACUGAUGGCCUUGGCAGAACAUUAAAUUUGUAGGUGAAAUAAACUCUCUUCCCACUUGGUGGUAGGUUAGAGAUCCAGGCUGACAUAAUUCUUUCCCAUGGCCAGUAAAUAGCCAGGAAUGACCAUGGAAAGGCCUGCAAAAAUGGCCACCAACCUUCCUGUUACCACAAAGCCUAAAAUUACACUGUAUCAUAUGCGGUCUUGUGUUUAGCUCUGGACAGAGAGAACUGCAUGGAGGAAGUGUGUACACCCUUGGGGUUGCAAGAUUUUAAUCAAACCAGUCUUGUUUCAGUUCAUCUUUCCACACACUUAUCCGUCCAUCCACUCAUACAUCUACCAAUCCAACCAUCCAUCCAUCCAUCCAUCCACCUGUCCAUUUAUUCAUUCAUCCCAUCUAUCCAUCUAUCCCUCCAUCCACCUGUCCAUUUAUUCAUUCAUCCCAUCUAUCCAUCUAUCCAUCCAUCCACCUGUCCAUUUAUUCAUUCAUCCCAUCUAUCCAUCCAUCCAUCCACAUCCAUCUACCUACCCACCCACAUAUCCAUUUAUUCAUUCAUCUCAUCUAUCCAUCUAUCCAUCCAUCCACCCACCCACCCAUCUUAUUCAUUUAUCCCAUCCAUCCAUCCAUUUACAUCCUUCCAUUCACCCAUCCACCCGUCCAUUUAUUCAUUCAUCCCAUCCAUCCAUCUAUCCAUCCAUCCAUCCACCCAUCCAUCCAUUCACCCACCCAUCCAUUCAUCUGCUCACCCAUCCACCCAUCCAUCCACUCAUCCAUUCAUUCAUCCAUCCAUCCAUUUGUUCAUUAGCCCAUAAUUCCAUUCAUCCAUCCACCUACCCAUCAGUCUGCUUGCUCAUCCAUCCAUUCAUCCAUCUACUCAUCCAUUCAUCCAUCUACCCAUCCAUCCAUCCUUCCAUCCAUGUUUCUAGUAAUGAUUGAGUGACUCUUAUGUGCCAAGCGUUGCGGUAGUCCCCUUUGUCUCCUGGCAUUUAUCUGUAGCAAACACACGUACAUCUUACCUCUGGCCUCUACCUGCAGUUUUUGAGAAUAUACUAGAAACUAUUUGAAGUCCUCUCAUUAGAGUUUGCUUUCUCCUAGCCCAGCAUUAGUAGUUAUUUUCAUUGCUCAGUGGUGGGACAUCAGAUAGUAAUAACCAUUAUGUGAUGAGUGCUGGCUGAAUGGCAGGCACUUAGCAAAGCCUUCUGUAUGCCUGCCUCAUUUAAUUCUAAUGGUCAUCCUAAGAAAUGUGCAUUAUUAUCUACAUUGUAAUCUUUUUAUGGUGAAGUACAACGUACAUGAAAAAAAGCAUGGAAAAUAUAAAGUAUGGUUCUAUAAUUUAUUGCCAAACAAAGAUAUAUACCAUGAGGUUAAAAAAUUCAGACAUUGCAGGCAUCUAGAAGGCUCCUUCAUGCCUCAUUUUAAUUGCCACCCGCUUUCUGUCCCCGGAAGUAACCACCAUCCUGAUAUAGGUGGUAGUGACUUCUCUGCUGCUUUUGACAGUUUUACCAUCUAAGCAUGUAUCCCCAGGUGCUAUAGUUUCAUUUCACCUGUCUGUUUUACUUUAAACUUUACAUAAAUCACAGUGUAUUAUCUUUCCGUGACUUUGUUUUCCUCAACAUUAAAUUCUGAGAUUCAUACUUACUGUUGCAUUAGGUAGUGAUUGAUUCUCAUUUUUGUAUAGUGUUUUAUUGUAUGGAUAUACUAACAGCUUAUUUUCCAUUCUACUGUCUGUGGUCACGUGUAUUUUUUCAGUUUAUUAUUAUUAUCAAUAACGAUGCUGAGAGCAUUCUUGCACCCAUAUUUCAUUGAAAAAGGGCAGGCAUUUCAUCGGAUUUGUAAAUGGGGAUGAGACCGUCGGAUGGUAGGCAUGUGUUCAAUUUUGGUAGCUAGUGCUGAACAGUUUUCCUCAACUGUGGCACUCAUUUACCUUCCCACCUGUAGUGGACCGGGGGUCGGUUCCCUGCAUCUUCACCCUCACCUGGUAUCGCCAGUCUUUCUAAUUUCAGCUUCUCUGAUGGUAUGUACUGGUGGUAUCACUUUACAAUUUUAAUUUGCAUUCCACUUUUGACAAAUGAGGUUGAGUGUCUUUUCAUGUGUUUACUGGAUAUUUGAAUAGUCUUUUGCGAAGCGUAUUUUGAAGUCUUGCUCAUUUUUUGAAACUGAAUUUUCUGCUCUUAUAUGUAGGAUGUUUCUGAAUGCAAGGUCUUUUGUUGUUAAAUGAGUAGCAGAUGGCUUUUCCUGCUCUGUCACUUGCCUUUUAACCCAUGAAAAGCUGUCUUUGGAAUGAGAUCAUGUCUCUUGCAGGAACGUAGAUGGAGCUAGAGACUAUUGUCCUUAGCAAGCUAACGCAGGAACAGGAACCAAAUACCGCAUGUUCUCACUUAUAAGUGGGAGCUAGAUGAUGAGAACGCAUGGACACACAUAGGGGAACAACACACAGUGGGGCCUACUUGACAGAGAAGAAUGGGAGGAGGGAAAGGAGCAGAAAAUAUAACUAUUGGGGGCUGGGAUUAUAGGUGUGAGCCACCUAUAAUCCCAGCACUUCGGUAAGCCAAGGUGGGCAAAUUACUGAGGUUGGGAGUUUGAGAGCAGUCUGGCCAACAUGGUAAAACCCCAUCUCUACUAAAAAUACAAAAAUUAGUCCAGGUGUGGUGGCUCACCUCUCUAAUACCAGCACUUUGGUAGGCCGAGGCAGGUGGAUCACUUGAGGUCAGGAGUUCAAGACCAGCCUGGACAACAAGGUAAAACCCUGUCUCUACUAAAAAUACAAAAAUUAGCCAGGCAUCAUGGCACAUACUUGUGCCCCAGCUAUACUCAGGAGGCUGGGGCCAAAGAAUCACAUGAAUUUGGGACACAAAGGUUGAAGUGAGGUGAGAUCACACCACUGUACUCCAGCCUGGGGGACAGAGCGAGACUUUGUCUCAAAAAAAAAAAAAAAAAAAAAAAAAAAAAAAAGAAAAGGAUAACUACCUGGGAGAAGAAAUAAUCUGUAUAACAAACCCCAUGACAUUAGUUUACUUGUAUAACAAACCUUCACAUAUACCCACAAACCUAAAAUAAAGGUAAACACCAAGCUGUCUUGGGAUAUUUUCAAUGUAAUCUAACUUAUCAAGCAUCCUCUUUAUGCUUAAGAAAUCUUUCCCUGCCCCAAGGCCACAAGGAUAUUCGUGUGUGUUAUUGUAUCAGUCAUGGUCAAGUUGGGAAAACACUGUAAAUUUCAGGAGAGAGAAUCUAAUAAAGAGAAAUGGUCACACAGGUUUCAGUGUCUGAAAACCAAAACAGGAGUCCUAAGAUAACAGAGACAAUAGCUUCAGAAAUGGUUACUGCCUCAAAGACUAGAGGAGCAAAGGGAAGAGGGUGAUGUUAUCAAAACCUUGUAGCUCAGAGAAGGGAUCCUUCACAGCGGAGGAGCCUCAGACUUCUAAGGAGGAGCUGCUGAUAGCCCUGAGGGGCUGUGAUGAGAUUGGUUCCGGGAGAGCUGAAAGAAGCUGAGGGCUGGAACCAAGACACUGCCCAGUGACGGCAUCAGCGCGGAGGACAUCUCCAUUUCACUCUUCCUGAAUUUCUACCUCUUUCUAGUAGCUCCUAUUGCAGAUUCUAGCAGGGAGCUGACCAGCAAGGGGGAAGUGAAGAGUACUGGCCCCAGAAUUACAAAGCAGGACAAAGAAGUGUGGGUGUGGAGCUGAGAAACGAGCUCAAUAAUAAUUAUUCUUUUCUUUUCUUUGAGACAGAGUCUUGCUCUUUCGUCCAGGCUGGAGUGCAAUGGUGUGAUCUCUGCUCACUGCAACCUCUGCCUCCUGGGCUUAAACCAUUCUUGCGCCUUGCCCUCCUGAGUAGCUGAGUAUUACAGGCAUGUGUCACCUUGCCUGGUUAAUUUUUGUAUUUUUAAUAGAGACAAAGUUUUGUCAUGUUGGCCAGGCUGGUCUUAAAAUUCUGGCCUCAAGUGAUCCUUUGGCCUCGGCCUCCCAAAGUUUUGGGAUGACAGGUGUGAGCGGUGUCUGGCCACCGUUAUCUUCUCAAGAAGUCUUGUGGUUUUGCCUUUGUACCUACAACCCGCCUGGAAUUGGUCUUUGUGAAUGAUGACAGGGGUCUGGUGUCACUUUUUCUCCAUAUCUAACUGACUUGGCACCACUCAUUGGAAGGCUGCCUUUCCCAUUGCGUUCGAGUGCUGUCUUUGUCAUUAAUCUAGAGGGUCUGCUUCUAGACAUUCCAUGUGCAUUUGUCUAAACUUGCACCAGUAUCACACUCCCUUAAUGUAGCUUAAAAAUAAAGUUUGACAUCUGGUAGAGUAAAUCAUCUUGCUCUGUUCUUAUGCAAGAUUGCCUGGCUAUUCUUGGCCCAUUGGAUUUCCAUUUGAUUGUAGAAUAAGCUUUUGAAUUUCCAUACAAAUUUUGCUAAGAUUUUAAUUUAAAUCACAUUAACUCUAUAGGUAACUUUGGGAAGAAUUGCUAUCUUUACAAUGUUGACUUUUUCAAUCUAAGAAAUGGCUUAUUCCUUCAUAUAUUUAGGGUUUUUUGUCUUAAUAUCCAUGUCUUCUACAUAGAGGUCUUACACAUAUUUUAUCACAUUUAUUCUUAGGUAUUUGAUUUUUUAACUUUUUAUUAUGAAAUAAUUUCCAAAUUAAAGAAAAGCUGUAAAAAUAGUACAGAGAAAUCCCUUAGUCCCUUUAUUCAAAAUAAACAUUUUGCCACAUUCACUUGGUAACUCUCUUUCUCAUUCUCUCUGUAUGUGCAUGUUGUUUUUAUUUUCUAUUUUCCCCUUAAUAAUCGGGGAGUAGAUUGCAUAAAUCAGGCUCCUUUACCCCUUUAUAUUUCAGUGUAUGUUUUGUAAGAACAAGGAGGGUCUCAUAUGACCAUGGUACAGUUAUCCAAUUCAGAAAAUCUGGCCUUGAUAGAAUACUUGUAUAUAAUGUAGUCCGUCUUCCAAUUUCAUCAAUUAUGGAAGUCACCUUGUGUCUCUUGGGGUAUCACCUGUGAAGGCCUGGGACCCCACCUGCCUCUUAUAGGUAAUAAUCUGAUCACCUGCCCAAUGUAUUCUUCAGUUUUUCCACUGUAUACUUACUAUUUUCUACCUUGGAGCUAAUAAGCAAUCUACGGGGAAGCACUGAGACCAUGAACACAUCCUGCUCCUCAUGCAAACUUCCUUUUAAUUUUAGCCCUCAUUGAUGAUUCUCGUCUCAACCAGUUUUUGCCGUGAUGAUUGCAGAAACAUGGUUUUCCAGUUCUACCCCUCCUGUGUGUUUACCAUUCAGUAUUCUACUGUCGGGGGAGCCGUCUCUUGUCCUUCACUUUCCGUGUGUUUGUUUUUUGAUUUACUAUGAUCAUUUUUUAGAGACUGGGUCUAGUUCUGCUACAUGGGUGGGACUGCAGCCUUGACCUCCUGGGCUCAAGCAAUCCUCUUGCCUCAGACUCCUGAGUAGCUAGGACUAUAUGCCUAGCUGAUUUUUAAUUUCUUGUAGAGACAAGGCCUUGUAUGUUGCCCAGGCUUGUCUUAAACUCUUGGGCUCAAGUGAUCCUCCGGCCUUGGCCUCCCAAAGUGCUAGAACUACAGGCGUGAGCCACUGCUAAUAUUACUCAUUAUUCUACCAUGAAACUAGAGGAAUAUUUUUGAGGCAACUGAUUGUGUCUUGCAAGGUUUAAAAGCCCUCCAAUGGUUCCCUGCGGCUCAUGGGUUUAAUGACACACAUCGUAAGCAAAGCUCGCCGUCUCCUGGGGCCUCUGGUUCUUGCUCGCUCUGUCGCUUAGGCCAGGCUGGAGUGCAGUGGUGUGAUCUUGACUCACUGCAACUUCCACUUUCUGGGUUCAAGCAGUUCUCUGCCUCAGCCUCCUGAGUAGCUGGGAUUAUAGGUGCUCGCCCCACACCCAACUAAUUUUUUGUAUUUUUAUUUAUUUUUUCUUGAGACAGAUUCUCACUCUGUCACCAGGCUAGAGUGCAGUGGUGCAAUCUCAGUUCACUGCAACCUCCAACUCCCUGGUUCAAGCAAUUCUCCUGCUUCAGCCUUCCAAGUAGCUGGGAUUACAGGCACCUGCCACCACACCUGGCUAAUUUUUUGCAUUUUUAUUUAUUUAUUUCGAGACACAGUCUCACUCUCUUGCUAGGCUGGGGUGCAGUCGUGUGAUCUCAGCUCAGAUUCCCUGGUUCAAGCUAUUCCCCUGCCUCAGCCUCCUGAGUAGCUGGGAUUAUAGGAAUGCGCCACCACAUCAAGCUAAUUUUUGUAUUUUUAGUAGAGAUGAGGUUUCACCAUGUUGCCCAGGAUGGUCUUGGUCUCCUGAGCUUGUGACCCGCCUCCCUUGGCCUCCCAAAGUGCUGGGAUUGCAGGCAUGAGCCACCAUGCCCAGCUGAUUUUUUUGUAUUUUUAGUAGAGACAGGAUUUCACCAUCUUAGCCAGGCUGGUCUUGAACUCCUGACCUCAUGAUCCACCCGCCUCAGCCUCCCAAUGUGCUGCGAUUACAGGUGUGAGCCACCGUGUGUGGCUUACCAGGUGAUUUCUAGUGCAUUAGGUGUCGUGGCACUAAGGAGUCUUCUCGGCCUCUGGGCUAGGUCAGGCCCUACAACAUGCACUCAUUAGACCACGUGCCUCUUUUGUGGGACCCCCAGAGUUGCAGCUGCGCCUUUACUGGUGUGAUUAUUUGCUUCAUGCCCGUUAUCUCAUUAGACUUAAGCAUCUUGAGGGUAGGAACUGGGCCAGUUUUGACUCAUCACUCUCUCCCCAAGAUCUAGCCCCCUGCCUGGGAUAGUAAGCGCUCACUAAAUAUUUGCCAAAUAAAGGAAGGAAGGAAAGACAUUUUUAUUCAUUUCAUCCUAACUGUGGAUUUUCCCAGUUUUUAAACUUAUUUUCUGGAAGGUGGGCUUGGGUAAGAAGCAUUCUGGAACAGAUUAUUGAAAUUGGGAAAAAAGUGAAAGAUGGUCUUCCAGUGUCCUUGCUACAAGUAAUUAGUAUUCAGCCACUUCCCCGUCUGGAACCUAGUUUCAAGUGCCAAGAGAAAAUGUGUUUAGCAUUGAAAAGGAUCCUUCCGGAAAUACCAGUGGCCAUGCGAUUGCUGAAGUAGCCAAGCUCCUGUGCAUUGUAAAUGUCAGCCUUGUUCCAACACCUCUGAUAAGAGGUGGAGUUUGCUGUGAUCCAUAUUCUCAUGAUGGCUGUGAAAUGAGAGAUGUGACUAGAAGCAGCCGCCAACCAAAAGCAUAGCAAACAAAAAUGAAGCCUGGAGUUUUCCCUGUUGGUCUUCUGGGGCCCAAAGAGCUUACCACUGGAGGGUGAAAAGCUUUGCCUUCCAGAGAACAUCUGCAAGGCGGAGGGAUGGCUCCCGGCUGUUUAAGGGAUCCCAGCUGCCAUGUAACCUACAAGUUGCAUGGCCCUUUACAGCAUAUAAAGCACUUCAGACCCUGAGUGAGAUGUCAGGAAACCUCUGUUCUAUGGACAGUUCUGUCAGUCAUUCUGGGCUUAAGGGCCUUCUAAGGAAAACAUGAAGAUUGGACCGGAAUACAUUAAGGGCUGAAUUGCGUCCCUGCCGAAAGUGUUACCUUGGACUCCUACUCGCCAGCACCUCAGGGUGUGACCUUAUUUGGAGAAAGUUCUUUCCAAAGGCGAUCAAGUUAAAAAGAGGUCCUUAGGAUGGGCCCUAAUCCAAUAUGGCUGAUGUCCUUAUACAAAGGGAAAUUUGGAGACAGGCACGUGCAGAGGGAAGGGAUGAGAAGAGACAGUGAAGACAGCUGACUACUGGUCAUGGGCAGAGGCCUGGACAGGUCCUUCCCACAGCCUCAGAAGGACCCAGCCCUGCCGACACUUUGAUCUUUGACUCCCAGCUUCCAGAAGCAUGAGAAAAUACAUUUCUGUUAUGGGCCAGUGCGACGGCUCAUGCCCAUAAUCUCAGCACUUUGGGAAGCUGAGGCUGGAGGAUCGCUUGAGCCCAGGAGUUUGAGACCAGCCUGGGCAGCAUAGGGAGACCUGUCUCUACAAAAAAUAAAAUAGCUGGGUGUGGUGGCACUUACCUGUGGUCCCAGGUACUCGGAAGGCUGAAGGGGAAGAUCGCUUCAGCCCAGGAGAUCAAGGCUGCCGUGAGCUAUGUUGGACCACUGUACUCCAGCCUCGGUGACAGAGCGAGAUCCUAUCUC